rnacentral:rRNA from 1 species
GACGUAGGGCGCGAGCGUUGUCCGGAUUUACUGGGCGUAAAGGGCUCGUAGGCGGCCAACUAAGUCAGACGUGAAAUCCCCUCAGCUUAACUGGGGAACUGCGUCUGAUACUGGAUGGCUUGGAUUUGGGAGAGGGAUGCGGAAUUCCAGGUGUAGCGGUGAAAUGCGCAGAUAUCAGGAGGAACACCGGUGGCGAAGGCGGUUCUCUGGGCAUGUUCUGACGCUGAGGAGCGAAAGUGUGGGGAGCGAACAGG